rnacentral:misc_RNA from 1 species
CAGAGUUUCGUGCCCUCACGGGUAGAUCUCCCACCCUUGUGUAUUCUCUACAUCUUGUUUGCUUUGGCAGGCCGUUGGUUCGCCAACCACCGGCCUCGCGGGCUGGUGCGUGCCUGCCAGAGGACCUCUCAAACUCGGUUUGUCAGUGUCGUCUGAGUACCAUAACAAUCGUUAA